CCGACUGAAACAAUCGGAUCAGGGUAUUUUGCAGAUCUUUGUUUGUGUUUUGAGAGAACGGCCUAUAAAUUCAUCGUUAACCACCAGGGAUUGAAGGAGCCGCUUCCGAUCUGUGGAACAAAACUGCGGGAAGUCUGCAUAGAACCUUACCAGAGAGAUGGAUGCUAUAAAACUUGUUGCGAAACAACUAGAGAAAGAAGAUGACGACGACGACGAAGAUGACGACGACGACGACGAAGAUGAAGGAACCAUCAUGCAUCAUGAACUCCUUUCGUCGAAUAAGUAAUUAACCAAGUGGGAAAAAGCACCAAAUUGAAAGCAUUAUUUCUUGGAACAUUUGGUAAGUUCACUACUCAAUUCUGACGUUUGUUUAUUUUAUGGAAAAUAAUAUCUUUUUGAUUAUAAACGGUGGAAUCAUCCAUUUUGAUAUAUAAGAAAUGAUCGAUUUGAAAAUGCUGUAAGAGAUCAAAUGUAAAAAUAUUUUUUUUAUACAUGCGAUCAGUAAGCGAACUAGGAUCUGCAAGAUCCUACUUUGA